rnacentral:rRNA from 1 species
GAAUCUUGGUCAAUGGGCGCAAGCCUGAACCAGCGACGCCGCGUGAGUGAUGAAGGCCUUCGGGUUGUAAAGCUCUGUGGGGUGAGACGAAAACACCGGUAUGAAUAAGACCGGCUUUGACGGUAUCACCUUAGCAAGCACCGGCUAACUCUGUGCCAGCAGCCGCGGUAAGACAGAGGGUGCAAACGUUGCUCGGAAUCACUGGGCGUAAAGGGCGUGUAGGCGGGAAGAUAAGUCAGAUGUGAAAUCCCCAGGCUCAACCUGGAAACUGCAUUUGAAACUGUCUUUCUUGAGUAUCGGAGAGGAAAGUGGAAUUCCUGGUGUAGAGGUGAAAUUCGUAGAUAUCAGGAGGAACACCGGUGGCGAAGGCGGCUUUCUGGACGAUUACUGACGCUGAGACGCGAAAGCGUGGGGAGCAAACAGG